AUUUUGACACCCCUGCUGUAGUGCAUUGGACUUCUAAUCCAAAGGUCGUGGAUUCGAAUUCCACUUGGGAUG